GGGGUAGUACAGAAAAUAGUAAGCACUGCUAAUACUUACACACCGUGGUUAAAAUCCGCGGCUUCCUCA
rnacentral:tRNA from 1 species